GAGAGAGGCUCGGAAGCAACGAUGACUGCUAAUUUUCGUCUCCUUGGUUAAACCCCAUGGCUCACUCG
rnacentral:tRNA from 4 species